rnacentral:rRNA from 1 species
AACGAACGCUGGCGGCAUGCCUAACACAUGCAAGUCGAACGAGACCUUCGGGUCUAGUGGCGCACGGGUGCGUAACGCGUGGGAACCUGCCCUUAGGUUCGGAAUAACUCCCCGAAAGGGGUGCUAAUACCGGAUAAUGUCUUCGGACCAAAGAUUUAUCGCCUUUGGAUGGGCCCGCGUUGGAUUAGCUAGUUGGUAGGGUAAAAGCCUACCAAGGCGACGAUCCAUAGCUGGUCUGAGAGGAUGAUCAGCCACACUGGGACUGAGACACGGCCCAGACUCCUACGGGAGGCAGCAGUGGGGAAUAUUGGACAAUGCGCGAGAGCCUGAUCCAGCAAUGCCGCGUGAGUGAUGAAGGCCUUAGGGUUGUAAAGCUCUUUUACCCGGGAUGAUAAUGACAGUACCGGGAGAAUAAGCUCCGGCUAACUCCGUG